AACGAACGCUGGCGGCAUGCCUAACACAUGCAAGUCGAACGAGACCUUCGGGACUAGUGGCGCACGGGUGCGUAACGCGUGGGAACCUGCCCUUAGGCUCGGAAUAACUCCCCGAAAGGGGUGCUAAUACCGGAUAAUGUCUUCGGACCAAAGAUUUAUCGCCUUUGGAUGGGCCCGCGUUGGAUUAGCCAGUUGGUAGGGUAAAAGCCUACCAAGGCGACGAUCCAUAGCUGGUCUGAGAGGAUGAUCAGCCACACUGGGACUGGGACACGGCCCAGACUCCUACGGGAGGCAGCAGUGGGGAAUAUUGGACAAUGGGCGAAAGCAUGAUCCAGCAAUGCCGCGUGAGUGAUGAAGGCCUUAGGGUUGUAAAGCUCUUUUACCCGGGAUGAUAAUGACGGUACCGGGAGAAUAAGCACCGGCUAACUCCGUG
rnacentral:rRNA from 1 species